GUCACACCCGGUCCCAUACCGAACACGGAAGUUAAGCUCUUCAGCGCCGAUGGUAGUCGGGGGUUUCCCCCUGUGAGAGUAGGACGCCGCCAAGC
rnacentral:rRNA from 1 species